AUGGGGACCCAGACUGUUCAGACCAUCACUGUGGGCCUGCAGACUGAAGCCCUGCGUGGCAGGGGUGUCACCAGCAGCCCCCACAAGUGUCUCACGCCAAAGGCUGGGGGUGGUGCUACACCCAUGUCUCUCCUUCCCGAAGACUUAGGAGCUGACAGGGGGCCCCUCCAUCAAGAAGGUGCAGGCCAAGUUUGAACGCACAUGCUGCUCCCCCAAGUACGUUUCUCCCAAGCUGCAGAGGGAGCCCCUCCCCAAAGCUGACCAGCCAAAUAACAGGACGUCACCAGGGACAGCCCAGAAAGGGUACAGUGAGUCAGCCUGGGCCCGCUCCACCACCACCAGGGAGAGCCCCGUGCACACCACUAUCAAUGACGGCCUCUCCAGCCUCUUCAACAUCAUGGACCACGGCCCUGUGGUGCAGGACCCCUUCCAGAAGGGGAUGCGGGCCGGCAGUCGGUCUUACUCAGCAGAACACCUACCAGAGCUGGGCCCAGGCCAGGAAAAGGCACCAAUUCCCGAGAAAGGUCGCCUAGCCCCAUUGGCGUGGGCUCAGAGAUGUGCAGGGAGGAAGGGGGAGAGGGCACGCCAGCGAGGCAGGACUUACCCGCUCCCCGUGGCUACACACUGACUGAGAACGUGGCCCGGAUCCUCAACAGGAAACUGCUGGAGUAUGCCGUGAAGGAGGAGAGGAGGCAGGCUGCCCACGGGCCUCCGGGGCCCCACAGCGACAGCCACUCGCUGAGGGACACAGCCGAGCCAGGGGCCAUGGAGGAACUACCUUGUUCUGCACUA
rnacentral:lncRNA from 1 species